ensembl:snRNA U6 U6 spliceosomal RNA
GUGCUUGCUUCAGCAGUACGUGUACUAAAAUUGGAAUGGUAAAGAGAAGAUUAGUAUGGCCUCUGUGCAAGGAGGAGAUGCAAAUUCAUGAGGCAUUUCAUAUUUUU